UUUCCUGUGGCUCAGUUGGUAGAGCAUUACACGAACAACGCAAAGGUCGUGGGUUCAUAUACCGAGGAAAG